rnacentral:rRNA from 1 species
CCCUUAGAUGUUCUGGGCUGCACGCGCGCUACACUGAUGUAUUCAACGAGUCUAUAGCCUUGGCCGAUAGGCCCGGGUAAUCUUUGAAAUUUCAUCGUGAUGGGGAUAGAUCAUUGCAAUUGUUGGUCUUCAACGAGGAAUUCCUAGUAAACGCAAGUCAUCAGCUUGCAUUGAUUACGUCCCUGCCCUUUGUACACACCGCCCGUCGCACCUACCGAUUGAAUGGUCCGGUGAAAUCUCGGGACGGCGGCUUGGUCGCUUGCGUCCGACUGCUGAAACUUGAUUAAACCAUAUCAUUUAGAGGAAGGUGAAGUCGUAACA